rnacentral:rRNA from 1 species
UGUUUGGCACCUCGAUGUCGGCUCAUCACAUCCUGGGGCUGAAGUAGGUCCCAAGGGUAUGGCUGUUCGCCAUUUAAAGUGGUACGCGAGCUGGGUUUAGAACGUCGUGAGACAGUUCGGUCCCUAUCUGCCGUGGGCGCUGGAGAACUGAGGGGGGCUGCUCCUAGUACGAGAGGACCGGAGUGGACGCAUCACUGGUGUUCGGGUUGUCAUGCCAAUGGCACUGCCCGGUAGCUAAAUGCGGAAGAGAUAAGUGCUGAAAGCAUCUAAGCACGAAACUUGCCCCGAGAUGAGUUCUCCCUGACUCCUUGAGAGUCCUGAAGGAACGUUGAAGACGACGACGUUGAUAGGCCGGGUGUGUAAGCGCAGCGAUGCGUUGAGCUAACCGGUACUAAUGAACCGUGAGGCUUAACCUU